UGGGGAAUAUUGGGCAAUGGGGGAAACCCUGACCCAGCAACGCCGCGUGAAGGAAGAAGGCCUUCGGGUUGUAAACUUCUUUUACCAGGGACGAAGGACGUGACGGUACCUGGAGAAAAAGCAACGGCUAACUACGUGCC
rnacentral:rRNA from 1 species